rnacentral:rRNA from 1 species
GAUGAACGCUGGCGGCGUGCCUAAUACAUGCAAGUCGAGCGAACAGAUAAGGAGCUUGCUCCUUUGACGUUAGCGGCGGACGGGUGAGUAACACGUGGGUAACCUACCUAUAAGACUGGAAUAACUCCGGGAAACCGGGGCUAAUGCCGGAUAACAUUUAGAACCGCAUGGUUCUAAAGUGAAAGAUGGUUUUACUAUCACUUAUAGAUGGACCCGCGCCGUAUUAGCUAGUUGGUAAGGUAACGGCUUACCAAGGCAACGAUACGUAGCCGACCUGAGAGGGUGAUCGGCCACACUGGAACUGAGACACGGUCCAGACUCCUACGGGAGGCAGCAGUAGGGAAUCUUCCGCAAUGGGCGAAAGCCUGACGGAGCAACGCCGCGUGAGUGAUGAAGGUCUUCGGAUCGUAAAACUCUGUUAUUAGGGAAGAACAAAUGUGUAAGUAACUGUACACGUCUUGACGGUACCUAAUCAGAAAGCCACGGCUAACUACG